rnacentral:piRNA from 1 species
UGUGCGUCUCUGUACUUUCACUUGUGC